rnacentral:ribozyme from 12 species
UUUUUUUUUUUUUUUUUUUAUUUUUUUUUUUUUUUUUUUUUUUUCCAAAAUUAAAAAAAGUUUAUUACACAAAUAAGCCAAGAAACCAAAUCUAUACAGAGUAUA